AAAAAGUUUUAUUCUAGCUUUUUUAUUAAAUAUUAAGUUAUAAUACAUGUGAUUAUAUUAGUUAUCAAAAAAUUCUAAAUGAAUUAUGUAAGUACGCAGUAUUUAAUAUUAUUAAUUAAUAAUAAUAGAAAUAGUAAUCUUAAUAAGAAGAGACCUAUAUUGUGCCAGCAGUCGCGGUUAUACAAUUUCUUCAAUUUAAUAUUUAAAGUUACAGUUAAAAUUAAUAUUAAUAUUAAAACGAUAAAAAUUUUAGUGAAAUAACAUUUUUUUUUUUGCUUUAUUUUAUGUCUGAUAAACUUUAAUUUAAACUAGGAUUAGAUACCCUACUAUUAAAAGCUUAAUUAAUAUAACUUGAUUAUUAAUAGAUAUGAUCUUUAAAUUCAAAGAAUUUGGCGGUAAUUUAUCUAAUCAGAGGAAUCUGUUCCAUAAAUUGAUAAUCCACGAUAGAAUAAACUUAUAAAUUAUACUUGUAUAUCGCUGUCAAGAAUGUUCUUUUAAGACAUUUUCUUUUUUUUUAUUAAAAUAAAUGUCAAGUCAAGGUGCAGUUAUUAUAUAAGAGGAAAUGGGUUACAUUAUUUAUAAUUAUGAAUUCUUAAAAUUUAAGUUUAUAUGAAAUUGGAUUUGAUAGUUAAAUAAUUAAAUUUAAUUAUUUGAAAUUAGCACUAAAUUAUGCACACAUCGCCCGUCACUCUCAUUAUUUAAAUGAGAAAAGUCGUAACAAAGUAGCCGUACCGGAAGGUGUGGCUAGAAAGAU
rnacentral:ncRNA from 1 species